UCAUAAGUUGUUGCCACAGCAGCAAACACAUCCAUGGGAGUGGCGGUGGCGGCGGCCUGGGUUUGGGUUUGGGGAUUUAGUGGAUUCUCCUCUGAUAAAAUUUGGCUCGAGGGCAAACACAAACAAAAAGGUGUGGACACAAGACGGUAAGGGGAGAGCGGCAAGCCGCGUCAGUUGCCUUGUUAAAAAGGCAGAACGAGACAGUUUGGCAUGCCCAUUGUUGAUUGGGAGAGCGACUAACUGUAAGCAACGACACGCAAAAGGCGCAACAGGCAGCCAAAAAGGAGGGAACGAAAAAAAAUCUCUCACUAAAUAAAGAAGGACAGAUCCAGUGAUGGGAGAAACUGCGGGGGCCGGUAACUGUAAAAGCAGAGACUGAAAGAGAGAGGGAGAGGCGAACGAGAGAUUGCGGGACUGGAUACACUGCACAAAAAGAGAAAUGUGAAAAAAAUACAAUAAACA